GACGAACGCUGGCGGCGUGCUUAACACAUGCAAGUCGAACGGAAAGGCCCUGCUUUUGUGGGGUGCUCGAGUGGCGAACGGGUGAGUAACACGUGAGUAACCUGCCCUUGACUUUGGGAUAACUUCAGGAAACUGGGGCUAAUACCGGAUAGGAGCUCCUGCUGCAUGGUGGGGGUUGGAAAGUUUCGGCGGUUGGGGCUGGACUCGCGGCUUAUCAGCUUGUUGGUGGGGUAGUGGCUUACCAAGGCUUUGACGGGUAGCCGGCCUGAGAGGGUGACCGGCCACAUGGGGACUGAGAUACGGCCCAGACUCCUACGGGAGGCAGCAGUGGGGAAUAUUGCACAAUGGGCGGAAGCCUGAUGCAGCAACGCCGCGUGCGGGAUGACGGCCUUCGGGUUGUAAACCGCUUUCGCCUGUGACGAAGCGUGAGUGACGGUAAUGGGUAAAGAAGCACCGGCUAACUACGUG
rnacentral:rRNA from 1 species